AAAAGGACCUUGAUUUAAGGCCUUUUCUUUAUGAUGAGGAUGACACGUACGAAAGACCAUUUUAUGACAUUCUUCUCAAACUCUUGUAUGACAUCGUCAGUUUCCAAAGCUAUAAAA